ACGCUGGCGGCAGGCCUAACACAUGCAAGUCGAGCGGUAGAGAGAAGCUUGCUUCUCUUGAGAGCGGCGGACGGGUGAGUAAUGCCUAGGAAUCUGCCUGGUAGUGGGGGAUAACGUCCGGAAACGGACGCUAAUACCGCAUACGUCCUACGGGAGAAAGCAGGGGACCUUCGGGCCUUGCGCUAUCAGAUGAGCCUAGGUCGGAUUAGCUAGUUGGUGGGGUAAUGGCUCACCAAGGCGACGAUCCGUAACUGGUCUGAGAGGAUGAUCAGUCACACUGGAACUGAGACACGGUCCAGACUCCUACGGGAGGCAGCAGUGGGGAAUAUUGGACAAUGGGCGAAAGCCUGAUCCAGCCAUGCCGCGUGUGUGAAGAAGGUCUUCGGAUUGUAAAGCACUUUAAGUUGGGAGGAAGGGCAGUAAAUUAAUACUUUGCUGUUUUGACGUUACCGACAGAAUAAGCACCGGCUAACUCUGUGCCAGCAGCCGCGGUAAUACAGAGGGUGCAAGCGUUAAUCGGAAUUACUGGGCGUAAAGCGCGCGUAGGUGGUUCGUUAAGUUGGAUGUGAAAUCCCCGGGCUCAACCUGGGAACUGCAUUCAAAACUGACGAGCUAGAGUAUGGUAGAGGGUGGUGGAAUUUCCUGUGUAGCGGUGAAAUGCGUAGAUAUAGGAAGGAACACCAGUGGCGAAGGCGACCACCUGGACUGAUACUGACACUGAGGUGCGAAAGCGUGGGGAGCAAACAGGAUUAGAUACCCU
rnacentral:rRNA from 1 species